ensembl:snoRNA
CCCCUUUCUAAAAGCACUCAGGGGGCCUUUUGAAUAUGACCCACUGAGCCGUCAAGAAAGGGCAGAGUGAAAACACCACUUUUGGGUGAAGCAGCAGCGUGUCGUGUUGUUUUGCUUCAAUCGGUGGUGUGAUAAGG